rnacentral:rRNA from 1 species
UACAGAGGUCCCAAGCGUUGUUCGGAAUUACUGGGCGUAAAGCGUGCGCAGGCGGUUCGUUGUGUCGGCGGUGAAAGCCCCGGGCUCAACCUGGGAAUGGCCGUUGAAACUGGCGAACUGGAGUGUGGCAGAGGGGGGUGGAAUUCCGCGUGUAGCAGUGAAAUGCGUAGAGAUGCGGAGGAACACCGAUGGCGAAGGCAGCCCCCUGGGCUGACACUGACGCUCAGGCACGAAAGCGUGGGGAGCAAACAGG